rnacentral:rRNA from 1 species
UAAGACGGAGGGAGCAAGCGUUGUUCGGAUUUACUGGGCGUAAAGGGCGUCUAGGCGGGUCUGUAAGUCAGGUGUGAAAUCCCCCGGCUCAACCGGGGAACUGCACUUGAUACUGCAGGUCUUGAGUUCGGAAGAGGGAAGCGGAAUUCCUGGUGUAGCGGUGAAAUGCGUAGAUAUUAGGAAGAACACCGGUGGCGAAGGCGGCUUCCUGGACCGAUACUGACGCUGAAGCGCGAAAGUGUGGGGAGCAAACAGGAUUAGAUACCCUGGUAGUCCACACUGUAAACGAUGGAUGCUAGGUGUCGGGGGUAUCGACCCCUCCGGUGCCGAAGUUAACGCAUUAAGCAUCCCGCCUGGGGAGUACGGUCGCAAGGCUG